rnacentral:tRNA from 1 species
GUUUAUAUAGUUUAAUAAAAACAUUACAUUUUCAUUGUGAAAUUGAAUAAUAGUUUCUAUAAAUU